rnacentral:rRNA from 1 species
AGAGUUUGAUCCUGGCUCAGGNUGAACGCUAGCGGCAGNUCUAAUACAUGCAAGUYGAGGGGUAGAAGAGGCBUGCUUCUUUGAGACCGBCGCACGGGUGCUAACBGUAUGCAACCUACCUUCAUCUGGGGGAUAGCCCGGAGAAAUCCGAUUAHCACCGCAUAAAAUCACAGUACUGCAUAGUACAAUGAUCAAAUAUUUAUAGCGAUGGAGAUGGGCAUGCGUGUCAUUAGCUAGUUGGCGGGGUAACGGCCCACCAAGGCGACGAUGACUAGGGGAUCUGAGAGGAUGGCCCCCCACACUGGUACUGAGACACGGACCAGACUCCUACGGGAGGCAGCAGUAAGGAAUAUUGGUCAAUGGAGGCAACUCUGAACCAGCCAUGCCGCGUGCAGGAAGACUGCCCUAUGGUUUGUAAACUGCUUUUAUUCGGGAAUAAACCUAUUUACGUGUAAAUAGCUGAAUGUACCGAAGAAAUAAGGAUCGGCUAACUCCGUGCCAGCAGCCGCGGUAAUACGGAGGAUCCAAGCGUUAUCCGGAUUUAUUGGGUUUAAAGGGUGCGUAGCGGCCUGUUAAGUCAGGGGUGAAAGACGGUAGCUCAACUAUCGCAGUGCCCUUGAUACUGAUGGGCUUGAAUGGACUAGAGGUAGGCGGAAUGAGACAAGUAGCGGUGAAAUGCAUAGAUAUGUCUCAGAACACCGAUUGCGAAGGCAGCUUACUAUGGUCUUAUUGACGCUGAGGCACGAAAGCGUGGGGAUCAAACAGGAUUAGAUACCCUGGUAGUCCACGCCCUAAACGAUGAACACUCGCUGUUGGCGAUACACAGUCAGCGGCUAAGCGAAACGUUUAAAGUGUUCCACCUGGGGAGUACGCUCGCAAGGUGAAACUCAAAGGAAUUGACGGGGCCGCACAAGGCAGGAGCAUGUGGUUUAAUUCGAUGAUACGCGAGAACCUUACCCGGCUUGAAGUUAGUGAUGAUCUAGAGAUAGAUCAGUGAGCAUC